CGGGGGGGGCAAGCGUUGUUCGGAAUUACUGGGCGUAAAGGGCUCGUAGGCGGCCAACUAAGUCCGACGUGAAAUCCCCAGGCUCAACCUGGGAACUGCGUCGGAUACUGGAUGGCUUGAAUUCGGGAGAGGGAUGCAGAAUUCCAGGUGUAGCGGUGAAAUGCGUAGAUAUCUGGAGGAAUACCGGAGGCGAAGGCGGCAUCCUGGACCGACAUUGACGCUGAUGAGCGAAAGCUAGGGGAGCAAACGGGAUUAGAUACCCCGGUAGUCCUAGCCCUAAACGAUGAAUGCUUGGUGUGACGGGUAUCGAUCCCUGUCGUGCCGAAGCUAACGCAUUAAGCAUUCCGCCUGGGGAGUACGGUCGCAAGGCUG
rnacentral:rRNA from 1 species